AUUGAACGCUGGCGGCAGGCCUAACACAUGCAAGUCGAGCGAGCGGCGGACGGGUGAGUCAUGUCUGGGAAACUGCCUGAUGGAGGGGGAUAACUACUGGAAACGGUAGCUAAUACCGCAUACCAUCAGAAGUGCCCAGGUGGGAUUAGCUAGUAGGUGGGGUAACGGCUCACCUAGGCGACGAUCCCUAGCUGGUCUGAGAGGAUGACCAGCCACACUGGAACUGAGACACGGUCCAGACUCCUACGGGAGGCAGCAGUGGGGAAUAUUGCACAAUGGGCGCAAGCCUGAUGCAGCCAUGCCGCGUGUAUGAAGAAGGCCUUCGGGUUGUAAAGCACUUUCAGCUGGGAGGCGUUACCCACAGAAGAAGCACCGGCUAACUCCGUGCCAGCAGCCGCGGUAAUAC
rnacentral:rRNA from 1 species